UACCUAACUAGUUCCCUCUGCAGGAAUAAAGAAGAAACAAUUUAGUCCAAGAUAUGGUGAGCUGCAAUUUUCCUCUCAGGUUCCAGCAUGCAGUCUGCCCUCACUAACAGGGGUGCUAUCACAGCAGAGUGGAUUGAGCCACAGACACAUCUACUCAAACAUACAGCCCAACUGUGUGACCACACUUACCAAAACACACCUGCCCGGCUCAAGGCUCCAGAGGGAAUUCUCAGUGUUGAUCUUGUGAGUGAGCUUCCCUUCCAUGAGGACACGCUCUCCAUUCUCUUCCAACAUGGCCACUCGGAUGGAACCACUGCUAAGGGCCACAGAGACCUGAGAACACACCAGGAGAAAAAUUAUCUUGCUUGUAAAGGUGACAGCUAUGAUAUUCCAGCUGUGCAUAAUUGGGCUCACCAAGCAUCUCUGUGAAGGAAGCCAUUCCAACCUAGUUCACACCAAGCAACCUGAAUCUAUCAACUCCCUUAGGUGAACGCAGCAGAAAAUUUUCAUCAUUUUGGUGCAUUUUCCUAAGGGAGCGUCAACCACAACACUUGACUUUCUACCCAUUUCCCCUCUGUAGUGACAGAGGCUGGCUCUCAUGCUUCGAGGUAAGCAGAAGGCACAGGAGUCGGGUGCUUCCUUUCAUCUCCCCUGUGACUACCUAGUCUGCCUCAGCUCAAGGUUCUGGAGGGGAUUCUCACUUCCUUUCCAGGAGGAUCUCCUCUCUAGUCUCCUCUCGAAUGACCACACAGCCAGCCACUGGCAAGAGCCCUCUCUCUGACCAAAACUUUCUGGUAAAAGACAAAUGUGGUUGGCCUCUUCUUUCCCUGAGCUGCUACAAAGAGUGUGACCAUAGCUUGGUCUUUGUCCAGUAAACCCACUUCCUUCAG